CCUACGAGAGGCAGCAGUGGGGAAUAUUGCACAAUGGGGGAAACCCUGAUGCAGCGACGCCGCGUGAGUGAAGAAGUAUUUCGGUAUGUAAAGCUCUAUCAGCAGGAACGAGACAAGACGGUACCUGACUAAGAAGCCCCGGCUAACUACGUGCCAGCAGCCGCGGUAAUACGUAGGGGGCAAGCGUUAUCCGGAAUCACUGGGUGUAACGGGAGCGUAGACGGCUGUGCAAGCCUGAAGUGAAAGGCGGGGGCCCAACCCCUGGACUGCUUUGGGAACUGUACGGCUGGAGUGCAGGAGAGGUAAGUGGAAUUCCUAGUGUAGCGGUGAAAUGCGUAGAUAUUAGGAGGAACACCAGUGGCGAAGGCGGCUUACUGGACUGUAACUGACGUUGAGGCUCGAAAGCGUGGGGAGCAAACAGGAUUAGAUACCCCAGUAGUC
rnacentral:rRNA from 1 species